rnacentral:tRNA from 1 species
GUUAUGCCUUGGGUCAACCGUUGAUCGGCCCGCUGCCAUCGGACCCAAGCAAGUUGUUGGUCGGUGCGUUGCCGCUGGCAAGUUU